rnacentral:rRNA from 1 species
GUCCGCGUCUGCAUCGCAGUGCACCGAAGAAACGAUUAAUUUUGACACCCCUAUUGUCUGCUGAAGCUAAGCAGGGCUGAGCCCAGUCAGUACUCGAAUGGGAGACCGCAUGAGAAAGCUAGGUUGCUGCUGGAA